AUCAACGCUGGCGGCGUGCCUCAGACAUGCAAGUCGAACGAUUAAAGCUCUCUUCGGAGAGUGUAUAGAGUGGCGCACGGGUGAGUAACACGUAAGUAAUCUACCCUCGAGUGGGGAAUAACAACCGGAAACGGUUGCUAAUACCGCAUAAUGCAGCGGCACCGCAAGGUGACAGUUGUUAAAGAUUUAUCACUUGAGGAGGAGCUUGCGGCAGAUUAGCUAGUUGGUAGGGUAACGGCUUACCAAGGCUACGAUCUGUAACCGGUCUAAGAGGACGGUCGGUCACACUGACACUGAAUAACAAGUCAGACUCCUACGGGAGGCAGCAGUCGGGAAUUUUGGGCAAUGGGCGAAAGCCUGACCCAGCAACGCCGCGUGAAGGAUGAAGUAUUUCGGUAUGUAAACUUCGAAAGAAUAGGAAGAAUUAAUGACGGUACUAUUUAUAAGGUCCGGCUAACUACGUG
rnacentral:rRNA from 1 species